rnacentral:lncRNA from 1 species
AUGUCCCCGAGGCUGAGGCCGUGGGGCAAGGGUGAGGUAGGCAGGGUCAGGGAGGGCCCACCUCUGUCCCGGGGCUGGGCGGCCAGCUGGUGGUUGGUGGGUGUCCCGAGACAGGGCUGUGCCCUGCCAGCAGGGUUGCCCCGAUGGAGGCGUGCAUGUGGAAGCCGCGAGCCUGGAGAAUGGCUGUGCCAUUGGGUCUCCUGCUCUUGGCUUUGUACUCUUCAGCAGGCAGCCGCCAGGCCCGAAGGCCGGCUCCUUCCUGGAUGAGCAGGCGAGGAUGGCAGCGUUGUCUUUGGAGCCAGGGGACCAGUGGUGGAAGCCGAAGGCCAGGCCAGGCUGCGUGGGGCCGAGACCCCUCCUCUGGCGGUGGUGGCAGGAGAGAUCCCAAGGUGAGGCAUGGCCUCGGGCUGUCUUGGUUUGGGUCAUCGGGGCCAGUGUUUUCCAUGUCUUUAAAAUGUCCUAUGUAGAAUCCCCAGGUGACUAAUCGUCCCUUGAGAACUAAGGCAUGAACCUUUAUGCUGGUUAAUUGACAAUAGGGAUUUCACCAAAGGAAGAUACAAUCUCUUUUGGUACUACUUAGAUCAUCAGGGAUAUUCAAGUGUCUUGUACUCUGAUUUUCGUUAAUCAAGUACUUCUUGUUAUGAAGGAAACAUUAAAUUGAUCCCAAAACAUGAACAUGGGAAGUGACAUUGGCCUAAUGUACCCGUGAUGAUUAGAACAUGGGUCAGGUGCCAGUGGUGAGUCAUGAAUGACGCAUGAUAAGGGUCUGAAGCCCUGUGGCCCCACACAGUCCAUCCUCUUUGGCUCUGUUUAGGCCAUCCUGUGGACAGGUGUUAGGAACACAGAAAGUUCGGGUUCUUACAGCGUAUACGUUUUCAAAGUAUUCAUACAGCAAGGAGAACACCAUGAAAGUUAUAGGUAAUAGUUGAAGAGCAUAUGUUGUUGUCUAAUUAUGAGCAAAUAUGUUGAAGAAAGAAAUAUUAAUCAAAAUUGCCAACAGCAGCGCUCCUUAUGAGAUAAGUCAGUCAAACGGUCACCUUUGUGGCCAAUUAUCAGAGAGACUUGAAGAGUUGUAAGUGUUAGAAAUUUCCUGUAUUGUUGUGAGUCAGUUUCAAGUUUGAGGUAGUUCUUUCAGUCAAGAGACAAAACAGUCUCUAAAGCAUGGCUAUGCUUUACAUUGUUAAGUAACAGGGCAGAUGAAAUGUAGAGGCAAGACGCGACGGUGAUCCCUUUUCUUUUCUUUCUCUUUUUCAUCAUUGGCUGUGCUUUGUGCUGUCAAACGUGCUCACGCUGGAGCGGAUUGAGCGUGAUCCCACGGUGACGUCACACGUCUUCUUGGGUGUUGAGAAUGAUUGAGUGUCUGAAUGACUGUGUGGGAAUUGCUGAAUCCGUCAAUGAAGUAAUACACGUGAAGGAGGCACAGAGACCCCGUCACGGACCAGUGAUGAGGCGCGUGACGGGAAGAGUCCUGAAGGAAGAAAGCAUCUCUGAAACUCUGAGGUCUGUCCCAGCACCUAAGGAGUCUCCUCUCUUGGGGGAAAUUGUGUCUGUAGAGAGAUGCCAGGGGUAUACAAAGGUCAUGUGUUCUCGUAUUUAUUUCUUUGUCGUGGGUUUGUUAGGAAUGGCUGCGUGCCAGAAUCAUUAAGCAAAUAUUAGUAAGUGUAUACGGAAAAAAUAUGUUCGUGCAUUGUAGAAGUAGCAAUUGUCUUGGGAGUUAAUAGAUACUGUGCAUAAACAUUGAAAACCUUGAUUCUGUGAAAUAAAUUGGAACGGGUCACCUCUUUGUUCA